rnacentral:rRNA from 1 species
AAUCAACGCUGGCGGCGUGCCUAACACAUGCAAGUCGAACGCGAAAGUCCUUCGGGGAUGAGUAGAGUGGCGUCCGGGUGAGUAACGCGUGGGUAAUCUACCUUCGGGUGGGGAAUAACUCAGGGAAACUUGAGCUAAUACCGCAUAAUGCAGCGGCUCGACAUCGAGACAGUUGUUAAAGCAGCAAUGCGCCUGAAGAGGAGCCUGCGUCUGAUUAGCUAGUUGGUAAGGUAAUGGCUUACCAAGGCUACGAUCAGUAGCUGGUCUGAGAGGACGGCCAGCCACAAUGGCACUGAAACACGGGCCAUACUCCUACGGGAGGCAGCAGUGGGGAAUUUUGCGCAAUGGGC